rnacentral:rRNA from 1 species
GACGAACGCUGGCGGCGCGCUUAACACAUGCAAGUCGAACGGAAAGGCCUGCUUUCCCUUGUGGACUGCGGGUACUCGAGUGGCGAACGGGUGAGUAACACGUGAGUGAUCUGCCCCCAACUUGGGUAUAAGCCUGGGAAACUGGGUCUAAUUCCCGAUAGGACUGCAGGGUGGUGCCUGUGGUGGAAAACGAUUUUCUAGUGGUUGGGGAUGAGCUCGCGGCCUAUCAGCUUGUUGGUGGGGUAAUGGCCUACCAAGGCGGCGACGGGUAGCCGGCCUGAGAGGGUGGACGGCCACAUUGGGACUGAGAUACGGCCCAGACUCCUACGGGAGGCAGCAGUGGGGAAGAUUGCACAAUGGGCGGAAGCCUGAUGCAGCGACGCCGCGGGGGGGAUGACGGCCUUCGGGUUGUAAACUCCUUUCGACCGCGAGGAAGCCACCUGGUUGGAAGGGUGGUGACGGUAGUGGUAGAAGAAGCACCGGCUAACUACGUG